CGACGCUGGCGGCGUGCCUAAUACAUGCAAGUCGAACGAGUUCUGAUUAUUGAAAGGUGCUUGCAUCUUGAUUUAAUUUUGAACGAGUGGCGGACGGGUGAGUAACACGUGGGUAACCUGCCCUUAAGUGGGGGAUAACAUUUGGAAACAGAUGCUAAUACCGCAUAAAUCCAAGAACCGCAUGGUUCUUGGCUGAAAGAUGGCGUAAGCUAUCGCUUUUGGAUGGACCCGCGGCGUAUUAGCUAGUUGGUGAGGUAACGGCUCACCAAGGCAAUGAUACGUAGCCGAACUGAGAGGUUGAUCGGCCACAUUGGGACUGAGACACGGCCCAA
rnacentral:rRNA from 2 species